UAAGACACUCUCGUCCCGAAUCUCUUUCUCCAUCCGCCGCCAGCACGCCUCGCCUCUCCUCGGCCCCGUCCUCCACUUCCCCACCUCCACCUCCCCGCCCAAGAUCCAUGGCUACCGCGGUUGCACCGGCCCGAUGGAAGCGGCGGCCAACCCUAGCCGCUAUGGCGCGCCUCUGCUGCUCACGACCUGGGCCAUGGAUCUGCGACAGGGGCCUCCCUCCUCCUCCCAGGCGGCGCAAGUGCCUCGCCAUCUGAAGAUUUGGCGUAGCAAGCGCCGGAUGAGGAGAGGACAAGGACCGUGACCCGCGGGGCACCCGAGCUCGACCUCUCCGGCGACGUCAACGCCCCGCACAAGAUCAGCAGGACCUCUCCGCCUCUUCAGUUCAAUGGAAGUGGACCACCGAGACCACACGCUCCAGCCCGACGAGCUGGACGAGCUCGAUGGCCAGGUCCUCCGCCCCGACCACCAUGAUUCCGCAGAGAACAAUAAGCCUGAACAGACUCUAACAUUGGUUUUCGUGGAGACAAAACAAGAAGCUGAUUCAUUGAGAUAUUGGCUAUACAACAGAGGUUUCACUGGAAUGGCGAUCCAUGGUGACGAAACACGUAAAUACAUAUUCCGAACUCUUCUGUCAUCGCCUAACUCUAGUGUACGGACACGCGCAUCCCUCUGGCUGCCGCUGGCCAGCAGCCAGCAUAGAGGAGCACGGCAAGAAUGGUGGUCGUGCAUCUACUUCGAGCUCCACAAAUCUCCAGCCACCUAGGCUAUCAAUUAGCAACAUAUGUUAAUCGAUUUAUCAUGGAUCUAUGAUGCACUGAUGAAAACCACACCUCUGAUCAUGGAUGUAUGCCUGCUCUGAUGUAUGUGCUUUGUUGCUGCCUAAAUUAAUGUACACACAGGGUUGUGAGACUUUGUCAUUCUGUCACCACUUGGUAAUGUGAAUUGAAUGGAUAAAUGCUAUACUGGACCCAAUGGUUUGAGCACUGCAACAAACCUGAAUGUUUACACAUGCCCCCUCUUUCACAAGUUUGCACAUCAACUGUUUAAUUGCUAUAUUAUAUUGUAAAUAAAAAUAUAGGUUACAUAAUUUUAUGCCAAGUGUCUACUUAUGUAAUUGAUAAUUGCUUAUAGCAGUACUAUGUUUAUUUAGUGGAAUAUGAGUGCACUUCAUUAAGUCUCACUUUUUCUCCUUUUCUUGCGUUGUUUCAGUAGAAGUUUGUUUUGUGUAACUUGAUCUCAGCUUUCAAAUCAACAUGAAUAGAUGAGACACCUACAAUCAUCCACUACAAUUUUAGAUUUAGGUUAAGACCCUAGCAUCUGCUGAGGUUUACAGUACAUUAACAUGCUAGCCUGUCCUGAGGCUUAGCCUGUGUUACCAUGACAUUCAGUUUCGCUUAUAUAUGAAGAAGUGUAUAUUCAGUUAGUUAUUUUCAUGUCUUUUGGAAUAUUAUCAAUUUUUCUGCAUGUCCUAUAGAAGUGCAUUUUUCUUUUUUGUGGGAUAUAUAGAAGUGCAUUUGUCUACAAACCUUUUCUAUUAUUCAUGGGAAUGGAGCUGAGCAUGUGAAAGCUUUAAAUCUUGCACUCAUUUAUGUAAAUUUCUGCCCUUUUUCCUCUAUGUUCGUGUACUCCUGUUUUGUAAUUCAACAAUUACCAUAGAACUAAUAAACUUAGAGCAUCAAAGUAUAUAUUUCCCUUUCUGAAUGUAAUUUCUGUUAUGUCUUAUAAAGAAUUGUCUCGUCCCUUUAUAGAGUUAUAUAGUUCACACUAGAAAGGCUUCUGCAUUUUUAAGGCCCUUUUUGUCACAAGCAUAUAUCUGCUUAUUGUUUUAAUGCUCUUUAUCUUGUUAAUUUCGUACAUGCAGUUUACAUUGUUUGACUGACUAUUCAUAACUUAAUAUUUAGAAGAUGUUGUCUCUAACUCAUGGUUCAUAUUCUUUAUAUGAAGUGUCCGAUGUCUUCAAGCAAGUGUUGUGUUAUGCAAAUUUGCAGUAAACGUUUUGAUAAACAAUUUGCUUGAGAACUAGCUAACAAGAUUAGAAUAUUCAUCUCGUAAAUGUAUACAAAAAAUAAGUAUGGUCUUCGCAACUUCCAACACCGAAUAUCUCUGCACAUUUCUGAACCUUGAUUUUAUAUAAAAACAGUCAAAUUUAUCUUCUCUUAUUUCCUUGAUUUCACUAUGACUUGACUCUCUCUCUCUCUCUGAUUUCUUGUUCCUAUUGUUGUCUUGUAUACAUGUAUACUGGUUCCUUUCAUUAUUGUUUCCUGUUAUAAAUAAAAGUACUAUGCUGGUCAAGUGGGCAGAUGAGAGCAUUUGGGUGUUGGAAGGUGAUCCAGUUGAUAAUAACACUUGCUGUUGGUGUUCAUGUUUUAUGAUUUAGCCUGUACCUUAUAACCAUGAUGUGAUUUGUAAGACAUGUAAUAAAUUAUAUUUGUAGUUCUUGUCACCUUCUAUACAAAUAUAUUGUUUUUUUUCAUUUCAUUAUUUUUCCUGUUAUAAGUAAUAAUACUCUCAAUACUGGCCAAGAGAACAUGUAAUACAUUUUUUCACUUGUUCUAAUACUCUUGUUUCUACUAUCUAUGAACCUCCAAAAAAUCUAAUGUUCUUUUAAAUAUGCUAGGUAUGAUUGGGUAGUGGGCUACAUAGUGCUACCCAACAUAAUCCGCGCCAUGACAUGAUGUGAUAGUUGCCAUCAGGAGAGUCGACGAAGAACCUGAACAACAGCCUUGAAAGUUUAUAUGUUUUGUUGAUGUAAACUGGAUUGUAAUGCCUUAACCUUGUUGUGUGAUAUAUUUAGUGAAUCUAUGUUGUAAAUUAUCAUUACAUGAAGGUUUUGUAAACUUCUAUGUUGUAUAUACACACAUAAUUUUUUUGAGAAAAAUAUAUACAGACAAUUUGCCGCA